rnacentral:rRNA from 1 species
AACGAACGCUGGCGGCGCGCCUAAUACAUGCAAGUCGAGCGAGAAGACGUAGCAAUACGUUUGUAAAGCGGCGAACGGGUGAGGAAUACAUGGGUAACCUACCCUCGAGUGGGGAAUAACUAGCCGAAAGGUUAGCUAAUACCGCGUACGCUCCUUGGACUUCGGUUCAGGGAGGAAAGCGAUACCGUGGGUAUCGCGCUCUUGGAUGGGCUCAUGUCCUAUCAGCUUGUUGGUGAGGUAACGGCUCACCAAGGCUUCGACGGGUAGCUGGUCUGAGAGGACGAUCAGCCACACUGGCACUGCGACACGGGCCAGACUCCGUACGGGAGGCAGCAGUAAGGAAUAUUGCGCAAGUGGGCGAAAGCCUGACGCAGCGACGCCGCGUGAGGGAUGACGGCCUUGG